rfam:Picea glauca, whole genome shotgun sequence.
AUGUAAUAUAAUGCCUAUAACGUUAAUGCAUCAUAUCCCAUUAUAACUCCACAGUUAAGUGCGCUUGGGCUAGAGUAGUAAUAGGAUGGGUGAUCUCUCAGGAAGUCUCAGUUUUUUACAUU